GCCUGGGUGGCUCAGUUGGUUGAGCGUCUGACUUCGAUUCAGGUCACGAUCCCACGGUUCAUGGGUUCAAGCCCCGCGUCGGGCU
rnacentral:tRNA from 1 species